rnacentral:rRNA from 1 species
AAAAAAGGUAAGCUACUAAGAGCGAAUGGUGGAUGCCUUGACUGGUAAAGGCGAUGAAGGACGUACUAGACUGCGAUAAGCUACGGGGAGCUGUCAAGAAGCUUUGAUCCGUAGAUUUCCGAAUGGGGCAACCCAAUGUAUAGAGAUAUACAUUACCUAUAUAGGAGCGAACGAGGGGAAUUGAAACAUCUUAGUACCCUCAGGAAAAGAAAUCAAUAGAGAUUGCGUCAGUAGCGGCGAGCGAAAGCGCAAGAGGGCAAACCCAGUGCUUGCACUGGGGGUUGUAGGACUGUAAUGUGCAAGAGGUGAGUUUAGCAGAACAUUCUGGAAAGUAUAGCCAUAGAGGGUGAUAGUCCCGUAUGCGAAAAACAAACCUUAGCUAGCAGUAUCCUGAGUAGGGCGGGACACGAGAAAUCCUGUCUGAAGCUGGGUCGACCACGAUCCAACCCUAAAUACUAAUACCAGAUCGAUAGUGCACAAGUACCGUGAGGGAAAGGUGAAAAGAACUGAGGUGAUCAGAGUGAAAUAGAACCUGAAACCAUUUGCUUACAAUCAUUCAGAGCACUAUGUAGCAAUACAGUGUGAUGGACUGCCUUUUGCAUAAUGAGCCUGCGAGUUGUGGUGUCUGGCAAGGUUAAGCAAACGCGAAGCCGUAGCGAAAGCGAGUCUGAAUAGGGCGCUUAGUCAGAUGCUGCAGACCCGAAACGAAGUGAUCUAUCCAUGAGCAAGUUGAAGCUAGUGUAAGAACUAGUGGAGGACUGAACCCAUAGGCGUUGAAAAGCCCCGGGAUGACUUGUGGAUAGGGGUGAAAGGCCAAUCAAACUUCGUGAUAGCUGGUUCUCUCCGAAAUAUAUUUAGGUAUAGCGUUGUGUCGUAAUAUAAGGGGGUAGAGCACUGAAUGGGCUAGGGCAUACACCAAUGUACCAAACCCUAUCAAACUCCGAAUACCUUAUAUGUAAUCACAGCAGUCAGGCGGCGAGUGAUAAAAUCCGUCGUCAAGAGGGAAACAACCCAGACUACCAGCUAAGGUCCCUAAAUCUUACUUAAGUGGAAAACGAUGUGAAGUUACUUAAACAACCAGGAGGUUGGCUUAGAAGCAGCCAUCCUUUAAAGAAAGCGUAAUAGCUCACUGGUCUAGUGAUUUUGCGCGGAAAAUAUAACGGGGCUAAAGUAAGUACCGAAGCUGUAGACUUGACUUUGUCAAGUGGUAGGAGAGCGUUCUAUUUGCGUCGAAGGUAUACCGGUAAGGAGUGCUGGAGCGAAUAGAAGUGAGCAUGCAGGCAUGAGUAGCGAUAAUUAAUGUGAGAAUCAUUAACGCCGUAAACCCAAGGUUUCCUACGCGAUGCUCGUCAUCGUAGGGUUAGUCGGGUCCUAAGUCGAGUCCGAAAGGGGUAGACGAUGGCAAAUUGGUUAAUAUUCCAAUACCAACAUUAGUGUGCGAUGGAAGGACGCUUAGGGCUAAGGGGGCUAGCGGAUGGAAGUGCUAGUCUAAGGUCGUAGGUGCUUAUACAGGCAAAUCCGUAUAAGAAUACACCGAGAACUGAAAGGCUUUUUGAAGUCUUCGGAUGGAUAGAAGAACCCCUGAUGCCGUCGAGCCAAGAAAAGUUUCUAAGUUUAGCUAAUGUUGCCCGUACCGUAAACCGACACAGGUGGGUGGGAUGAGUAUUCUAAGGCGCGUGGAAGAACUCUCUUUAAGGAACUCUGCAAAAUAGCACCGUAUCUUCGGUAUAAGGUGUGGUUCGCUUCGUAUUAGGAUUUACUCCGAAAGCGAAGAAACUUACAACAAAGAGUCCCUCCCGACUGUUUACCAAAAACACAGCACUCUGCUAACUCGUAAGAGGAUGUAUAGGGUGUGACGCCUGCCCGGUGCUCGAAGGUUAAUUGAUGGGGUUAGCAUUAGCGAAGCUCUUGAUCGAAGCCCGAGUAAACGGCGGCCGUAACUAUAACGGUCCUAAGGUAGCGAAAUUCCUUGUCGGUUAAAUACCGACCUGCAUGAAUGGCGUAACGAGAUGGGAGCUGUCUCAAAGAGGGAUCCAGUGAAAUUGUAGUGGAGGUGAAAAUUCCUCCUACCCGCGGCAAGACGGAAAGACCCCGUGGACCUUUACUACAGCUUGACACUGCUACUUGGAUAAGAAUGUGCAGGAUAGGUGGGAGGCUUUGAGUAUAUGACGCCAGUUGUAUAUGAGCCAUUGUUGAGAUACCACUCUUUCUUAUUUGGGUAGCUAACCAGCUUGAGUUAUCCUCAAGUGGGACAAUGUCUGGUGGGUAGUUUGACUGGGGCGGUCGCCUCCCAAAUAAUAACGGAGGCUUACAAAGGUUGGCUCAGAACGGUUGGAAAUCGUUCGUAGAGUAUAAAGGUAUAAGCCAGCUUAACUGCAAGACAUACAAGUCAAGCAGAGACGAAAGUCGGUCUUAGUGAUCCGGUGGUUCUGUGUGGAAGGGCCAUCGCUCAAAGGAUAAAAGGUACCCCGGGGAUAACAGGCUGAUCUCCCCCAAGAGCUCACAUCGACGGGGAGGUUUGGCACCUCGAUGUCGGCUCAUCGCAUCCUGGGGCUGGAGCAGGUCCCAAGGGUAUGGCUGUUCGCCAUUUAAAGCGGUACGCGAGCUGGGUUCAGAACGUCGUGAGACAGUUCGGUCCCUAUCUGCCGUGGGCGUAAGAAGAUUGAAGAGAUUUGACCCUAGUACGAGAGGACCGGGUUGAACAAACCACUGGUGUAGCUGUUGUUCUGCCAAGAGCAUCGCAGCGUAGCUAAGUUUGGAAAGGAUAAACGCUGAAAGCAUCUAAGCGUGAAGCCAACUCUAAGAUGAAUCUUCUCUAAGCUCUCUAGAAGACUACUAGUUUGAUAGGCUGGGUGUGUAAUGGAUGAAAGUCCUUUAGCUGACCAGUACUAAUAGAGCGUUUGGCUUAUCUUUAAUAAAGCAU